UACGUAGGGGGCAAGCGUUGUCCGGAAUCAUUGGGCGUAAAGAGCUCGUAGGCGGUUUGUCGCGUCUGCUGUGAAAUCCCAGGGCUUAACCCUGGGCCUGCAGUGGGUACGGGCAAACUAGAGUGCGGUAGGGGAGAUCGGAAUUCCUGGUGUAGCGGUGAAAUGCGCAGAUAUCAGGAGGAACACCAACGGCGAAGGCAGCUCGCUGGGACGGUACUGACGCUAAGGCGCGAAAGCGUGGGGAUCAAACAGG
rnacentral:rRNA from 1 species